rnacentral:lncRNA from 1 species
AAUUUUACUCUUUUCAACUGCCAAAAGAACAAAAGUGUGACAAACUUUAUACAUAUUUUACUUUUGCAUCACUCUAUGACGAGGCGAAAUCUAUCUACAUCUAGUAGUCUUGAUCAAGGAUGAUUAAGCACAUUUCGCUCCCUUUUUCUCAAGUUUGGGUUGAAAACUUGGGGUUAGAGGCCCAACAAAUAAAGCAGACUAAUGAUAAUGGCCCUACUAGUGGGUCUUCUCCAAGUUUAACGAGCCCAUUAACCCCAAGACCAAAAAAAAAAUUAAAAAUGAAAGUGACCCCCUUGAUUCCUUUAUAAAAGCAUUUUCACCAGUUAGCCCCUUGCCAGUCAUGGCAAGGGGAGCUAUAGAGCAGCUACUAUUCACAUGAAUAGUGGCUGUCCUAG